AUAUUAUCAUUGAGUAAAAGAGUAAAGAGACCAUUAUCCACAUAUACAUUACCCAAAAACUCAUUAGAAUAGAAAAUAGAGUAACAAUUGCUUUUAGCCUUUAUUUCAUAUCCAUAUUCCAAUAACAAGGGUAUAGAAAUAAUAUUUCUAAUGACAUUGGACAUAUAAUAACAGUCUUGUAACUCCAAUAUCUUGCCGG
rnacentral:lncRNA from 1 species